rnacentral:rRNA from 1 species
CACUGCCCGUCACGCCAUGGGAGUUGGUUCUACCUGAAUUGAUUGAGCUAACCGCAAGGAGGCAGGUCAACACGGUAGGGUCAGCGACUGGGGUG